GACGAACGCUGGCGGCGUGCUUAACACAUGCAAGUCGAACGCUGAAGCCCUUUCGGGGGUGGAUGAGUGGCGAACGGGUGAGUAACACGUGGGUAAUCUGCCCUGUACUUCGGGAUAAGCCUUGGAAACGGGGUCUAAUACCGGAUAGGACCUGUCCUCGCAUGGGGGUGGGUGGAAAGUUCCGGCGGUAUGGGAUGAGCCCGCGGCCUAUCAGGUUGUUGGCGGGGUAGUGGCCUACCAAGGCGACGACGGGUAGCCUGCCUGAGAGGGUGACCGGUCACACUGGGACUGGGACACGGCCCAGCGUCCUACGGGAGGCAGCAGUGGGGAAUCUUGCGCAAUGGGCGAAAGCCUGACGCAGCAACGCCGCGUGGGGGAUGACGGCCGUCGGGUUGUAAACCUCUUUCGACAUCGACGAAGGGGCCCUGUUGGGGGGUUUUGACGGUAGGUGUAGAAGAAGCACCGGCUAACUACGUGCCAGCCGCCGCUGUAA
rnacentral:rRNA from 1 species